UGCGCUCCCGGGCCGGGCCCGGCUCCGCCCCCGCCCAGCACUGCCGGGGCCUUGCUUGGCUCAGGGGACCCGCGCUCGCGCCGCCUGGCCCCGCGCACCGUUGCCCGACUCCUGCUCGGGACAGGCGUGCGGUCACUGCUCGGCGCUGGGGAACGCGGGGGCGAAAGGCCGGCGCCGUCGGGGUGUCCCGCAGCGGCCGAGCUGCGAGCGCCGCCCUGGCAGGCAGGCGCCCGCCGAGGAGCUGCGCGCGAGCUGCCGGCUCUGCCCGCUGCUUCUGUGCGUUUUGGUAGCAAGGCCCCACUCCCCAAGGAAGGGGUGCGCCUAGACAUGUGAGAGAGUGACGCCCUUGGUGAGGAUUAUAGUCACAAUAAUGACACAUUCGCCAGCUCUAUAAGAGGUGUGCUUCCCACGCGGGCUCCCAUGCGGUAUUGGCAUAUCCUGGGCUGAAAGAAGUGACAGGAGCCUGUUCUUCAAGCUACUGGUCAACCUUUUCUUCAGUGGAGUUCCUGUGCACAAUGCAGACUCCUUGCUUCAGAGAGCUUUCCAUCUCAUUUCAAGCAGAAUGCAAGAAUACGAAAGAGAUAACACCUAAAUUUGAAUGAGAGACUUCCUCAACCACAGUGUGCACUUCAGGGACAGAGGACUCCUGGGAAGGGACAGCAUCCAUCUCCUACAGAGCAGAUGAAGCCAGUCAGAAGAAGGGGCUGGAAAAGUUUCUGGACACAAGGUCUACAGGAAGGCAGAGAGACAGCGUAAAGAAGAAUGCUUUAAUGAUUAUAUGAAUUUUCUAAUUGUAAUAAAGUUCUUUGUCCAGUGUUAGAAGAAAGCAUUUGCUCAUAAUUUGUAAUUAUCAUCACAUGAUGUGUGAAGUUUGCCCCAAACUGGUGUAACUUUACAUGCAGAAUAUGUUGGGAAGAUAUGUAACAGUGGGAGCAUCUACACAAGAUGCUUUACUGUGAAGUAGCGUAGUUUACUGCACAGUAAGCAUGUGCAUCUACAUGUGCACAUGCUUACUGCACAGUAAACCUCAUUAAUCGCAAGUAAAUUUGCUACUUGCGAUUAAUGAGGUUACAAAUGCAAGUAGCAAAUUUACUCAAGAUUAGUAAUGGCCCAGUAGCUCUUGUGGAUCUCCCAGCCCCAGCUUCACCAUCACGAUCAGGGAGAGGGGAGUUGGGAGCUCCUUUUCGCCCUGCACCAGCUCCAUGGUUGCAGAGCCGACACUGGGAGAUCCUUAUCUUCUGGCCCAAGCCCUGUGAGGGGCUCAGACUAGGGGAUUAUGAUAUCCUAGCGCCCACCUCACAGUUGUGGAACUGACACUGGGAGAUAAGGGUCUCCCCGCCCGAGCCCCAUGACUGCAGAGCUUGGGCUGGGAGAUAAAGAUUCUCCCAGUGCUGAUCCUGCCACUAUGGAGCUGGUACUGGGAGUUCCCUGCUGGUGGGGAGCUGGGAAAUCUGUUCCCUGAACAGCUCUGUGAUCAUGGAGCUGGGUGGGAACAAAUUGGCUGUAUGAGCACAGAGCUGGAUGGGGAACAGGCUCCCCUACCUGUGCCUUGCCUAGUUCUGCAUUUAUGGAGCUGAGCAGGAAACAAGCUCCCCAGCCUGUUCCCUACCCAGCUCUGCACUCACGGAGCUCAGCAGGAAACAGGCUCCCCAGCCACCAUCCUGUAAUCAAGGAGCAGGGGCUGGGAACUGUCCUGGUCAAGGGCAGGUCCCAGCCUUGUGCCUGAUUGGGCGAUUGAGGCAUGGGACUUAGAAAGAGCUGCAGGGGUGGGGUAGGUCCCAUCCCCCUGCCCCUAUCCACUGGUAGGGCAGCUAGCAGUGAACAAGCUGCUAGCUUCCCAGCUGGUGGAUGAGGCAGGGGGCUGGGACCUGCCCCUUCCCUGCAGCAAUUUCCAAGUCCUUUGCCCCCAAUCGGGGAUCCAGGUCCAGGACCUCCCUGCUGCCGGCACAGGGGGACAUUGUCCCCGCCCCAGCAACAGGCAACCUCCCAGGGGCAGGGUACCAUGUCCCAGCCCCUGGGCUAGCACCCAGAUCUGCUCCCGCUCCCCUGCCUGUGCAGACACCUGGCUGGGAGCGUUUACUUGUAAGUAGUUUACUUGCAGGUAAACGGAUUCUAGAUCAAAUGCACGUGUAGAUGCACCCAGUGUUAUGCUCUGUGCUGACAGAAAAGAAACACAAGACAACAAUGAGGACGGCCCAGAAUACUUUUAGAAUCAGGCCUAUUACAUGCAAACUGAUAGUUGAGAAUAUUUUGUUGUGUUCAAAUUCAACAAAAAAUAAAGGAAAAUAAUAAACGUU